GUACCCGAGGCGAUGCCGGAGCCGCUAACCGCCCUGCUCUCCUGCGGGUGAUGUCUGGGGCUUUCUUCUUGGGCCCGCAGGUGCUUCCGGAGUUGGGGGCAAGGUGCACCCUCCAGCAAGGCCUGGCCUUGCUAGGAGCUCUGGACCGCCGCGAAUCCCCUCACCCACUCCAGGCCUGAGCCUGGAGGGAGGCAGGAUUUCCUCUGGGCUGCCUUUGAGGCGUUUACCCGCCUGGCAGCGUUAGAUUUGCAUAACCAGAUACGAAUUCCAGUGGAGAUGCAGUGGGUGUGUCUGCAUUUCCGAUUACACCAUCAUUUUAAAAGCUGUGAUGUUCGAAGAUUUGGAGUUUUAAAAGCAGUUUUUACUGUCAUUAUUUUGCUGUGUCUUAAUUUGGAAGAUGGAACAACAGCCCAGACUGAGGGUAAUAUGAAGGGUGUUGAGAAUUUGACAGCAUCACCAUAUGUGCUUCAAAUGAUACCACAUUCCUGAUUUUCAGUAACCAGGUAAGUGUUUUUCUUGCCUGUGCCGAAUUUGCAAUUAGGAAAUUCUGUUCCUAAUUGAACACCAAAACUUAUCAUCUCAUGGUGAAUAUAGAGAAACUCUGCUUAAAGCUGGUGAACUUCUCUUUAUGAGCAGAAGGAUUUAAUGUGACUAAACUUUCCAGCAGACACUCUGGGGAAUUGAGCUUAUUAUAUUUUGUUUUGGUUUAGCUUUUUUUUUUUUUUCUUUUUUGGGCCACACCUGCGGCAUAUGGAGGUUCCCUGGCUAAGGGUCCAAUAGGAGCUACAGCUGCUGGCCUACAGCACGGCCGUAGCAAUGCCAGAUCUGAGCUGUGUCUGCAACCUGCACCACAGCUCAUUGCAACGCUGGAUCCGUAACUGAGCAAGGCCAGGGAUUGAACCCUCAACCUCAUGGGUCCUAGUUGGAUUCGUUUCCCCUGCACCAUGAAGGGAACUCCCCUUCUGGUUUAGCUUUUUUUUUUUUGCUACUUCUUUGGGCUGCUCCCACGGCAUAUGGAGGUUCCCAGGCUAGGGGUC
rnacentral:lncRNA from 1 species